rnacentral:misc_RNA from 1 species
CAUUUGGGGCCAAAAGGCGAGCAAAACCUACCACUCAUGUCCAAUAUCUUUCGGUCCUGAUCUGCUUCCAAGCCAUACAAACGGGUCGGAUCACCCAAAUCGGAAAUCCCGUUAGCCACGAAUUGCGAAGUUGAUGUUGCCGCAGUCGUUGGUGGAGUUAAUGAUGAUGAUGGUUCUGGCACCCGGCGAUUGAGCCGAGCUGGAUCGCUGUUGGUGUUGGGAUCCGGGUUCGCACGUUUCGGGUUCGAUGAACGNUUGCGGCUGCCACCACCGACUGGAAUGUUUCUUAAAGCGCCGCCCUUGGUCCAGUAUCUUC